rnacentral:misc_RNA from 1 species
UAUAAAAAUUGUAGUAAACUUAAUUGUGUCCUUAUUGGCUUAAAACUCGUUAAACUAAUUCAUAUAAACAUGACAUGUUAUUAAAGGGCAAAGUAAAGGGCGGCUACAAUUGCUACAAAUGUUAAAGUCCAUGGCCGAUGCUUACAAUUUUAGAAGAAGCAGCCACAAUUGAAAAAAACGUGUAUAGUUUUUGGAUUUUUCUCUUUUAUCAUUAGCCCUUGAAAAAAAAUAUUUUUUUUUG